ACAAUAUCAACUAACUUGGCUGGCCCUAAAUCGAAACUGAGUGUGGCCAGCUUAUCCUCAGACAUAGAUGUGCUGUCUGCUCUAAGCAAGGGCAUCCCAUGUUUAAGUGAGUGUGUUGAAGAAACAUUGCCAGCUCCUGAGACCCAGGACAAAGGAGAGCCUGCUGUUUCAGAGUCCACCACUCCCAGUCAAGGGGAUUCAGUGCCCAAGAAGGUGCCUUGUGUUCUAUCCACAGUUUUCUCACAGUCAUGCAGCAGCACAAGUGACAUUU